rnacentral:tRNA from 1 species
CCCUGGGUGGUGCAAAUGGUUAACACGCUUGGCUGCUAACCAAACGGUUGGAGGUUUGGGUCCACCCCAAGGUG